GCCAUUGUUUUGAUUUCAACUAGUGUGGUUUCUGCUGCUGCAGAUAGUUAUAUUUACUCUUCUCCUCCACCACCUUACGAGUAUAAGUCGCCACCGCCACCAUCACCUUCACCACCACCUCCUUAUGUUUACAAAUCGCCACCUCCUCCAUCCCCAUCACCUCCACCACCUUAUGAGCACAAGGCUCCUGCUUAUGAGUACAAGUCACCACCACCACCAACUCCUUCACCACCACCUCCUUAUGUGUACAAGUCACCACCACCGCCAUCUCCUUCACCACCACCUCCUUAUGUGUACAAGUCACCACCACCACCCUCACCUUCCCCACCACCACCAUACUACUACAAGAGUCCUCCACCACCUUCUCCUUCACCUCCACCUCCUUACUACUACAAAUCUCCUCCACCACCCUCACCUUCCCCACCACCACCAUACUAUUACAAGUCUCCUCCACCACCAUCUCCCUCACCUCCACCACCAUAUUACUACAAGUCUCCCCCACCACCCUCACCCUCCCCUCCACCCCCAUAUAUACACAAGGAUCCACCAUACUAUUACAAGUCCCCACCACCACCUUCACCAUCUCCUCCACCACCAUACUACUACAAAUCUCCCCCACCCCCUUCACCGUCUCCUCCACCACCAUACUACUACAAAUCUCCUCCUCCUCCAUCUCCUAUUCCCAAAACACCUUACUACUACAAAUCUCCCCCACCCCCUUCACCAUCUCCUCCACCACCAUACUACUACAAAUCUCCCCCACCCCCUUCACCGUCUCCUCCACCACCAUACUACUAUAAAUCUCCCCCACCACCGUCACCCUCUCCACCACCACCUUACUAUUACAAGUCUCCUCCCCCACCUUCACCAUCUCCUCCACCACCAUACUACUACAAAUCUCCUCCUCCUCCAUCUCCUAUUCCCCAUACACCUUACUAUUACAAAUCUCCCCCACCACCUUCACCAUCUCCUCCACCACCAUACUACUACAAAUCUCCUCCUCCUCCAUCUCCUAUUCCCCGUACACCUUACUAUUACAAAUCUCCCCCACCACCUUCACCAUCUCCUCCACCACCAUACUACUACAAAUCCCCUCCUCAUCCAUCUCCCAUUCCCCAUACACCUUACUAUUACACAUCUCCCCCACCACCUUCACCGUCUCCUCCACCACCAUAUUACUACAAAUCUCCUCCCCCUCCGUCUCCUAUUCCCCACACACCUUACUACUACAAGUCCCCACCACCACCAAAGGUCCUUCCACCACCAUACUAUUACAAUUCUCCUCCUCCACCUGUUGUGUAUCCUCACCCAUAUCCCUACCACCACUCACUUAUUGUGAGGGUAGUCGGUAAAGUCUACAGCUUCAGAUGUUAUGAUUGGAAUUAUCCUGCAAAGUCUCAUAACAAGAAACAUCUCAAAGGUACAUUACAUUUCUUAGGACCGGACCUCUUUAGAGUAAUGUGUUUAGAGAUAAUGCACAAUUUUUUAUUUUUUUAUCUCGUAAAGGUUUAUUUAUUAUAAUCACAAUUUCACUUUUGUCAAAAAGAAAAACAAUUUUACUAUAUAUAGUUUUAAUCAUUAACAUUUUGAUGUAAAAAGAAUACAAUUCUCUAUUACCUUUUUACUAUGAUAUAUAUACAAAGAUUAUUCAAAUCUAUAUAUCCAACCUAAUUUCCAUCCAAAAAAAUAGAAAACAUAGGGUGCUUUGAACGCCUGCAGCAUCACAUGAAUAAAUAAAAACAAUCAAUAAUCAACCUUGUUCUAAUUUAUUUUAGACAGCGAUUGUUAAGCAUACUGCUCUUUUAAUUACAUUUUUUUUAAAGAUGCUCUUUUAAUUAUAUUGUCCUAAUAUAAUAUGUGUCUUUAUAUAUUACUUGUCGUAAACUAAUUUUAUUAUGGGUGCAGGAGCUGUUGUUGAGGUGACAUGCAAAGCCGGGAGCAAAAUUGUCAAGGCUUAUGGAAAAACUAAGAACAAUGGAAAGUAUGCCAUCACAGUUAAGGACUUUGACUAUGUCAAAUAUGGUUCGACAGUGUGCAAGGCUGCCCUAUAUGCUCCACCUAAGGGUUCACCCUUCAACAUACCUACAAAGCUAAAUCAAGGAACAAAGUUGUACUUGAAAUCCAAAGACAAGUACGAGGUUGUGCUCAAGGCUAAGCCAUUUGCUUAUGCUUCAAAGAAACAUUUCAAAGAAUGUGAGAAGCCUAAGCCUUCACCAACUCCUUACUACUACAAAUCACCUCCACCUCCCUCACCAGUUUACAAAUACAACUCACCACCUCCACCGGUCCAUUAUUAUUCACCUCCAUACACCUACAAGUCACCUCCUCCCCCUGUGAAAGCGGCACCAACUCCUUACUACUACAAAUCACCUCCACCACCCGCACCGGUUUACAAGUACAACUCACCCCCUCCACCGGUCCAUUAUUAUUCACCACCAUAUACCUAUAAGUCACCUCCUCCCCCUGUGAAAGCGGCACCAACUCCUUACUACUACAAAUCACCUCCACCUCCCGCACCGGUUUACAAGUACAACUCCCCACCUCCACCGGUCCAUUAUUAUUCACCUCCAUAUACCUACAAGUCACCUCCUCCCCCUGUGAAAGUGGCACCAACUCCUUACUACUACAAAUCACCUCCACCACCCGCACCGGUUUACAAGUACAACUCACCACCUCCACCGGUCCAUUAUUAUUCUCCACCAUACUACUACAAGUCACCACCCCCACCAUCUCCAUCACCUCCUCCACCAUACUAUUUCAAAUACUAUUACAAGUCCCCACCUCCACCAUCACCAUCCCCUCCUCCACCUUAUUAUUACAAAUCUCCUCCUCCACCAAAACAAAUUUCACACCCUCCAUACUACUAUAAGUCACCACCCCCACCAUCACCAUCACCUCCUCCACCAUACUAUUAUAAGUCUCCACCUCCACCAUCACCAUCUCCCCCACCACCUUAUUAUUAUAAGUCACCACCCCCACCAUCCCCGUCCCCUCCUCCACCAUACUACUACAAGUCUCCACCUCCACCUAAAGAAAUAUCACAUCCUCCAUAUAACUAUAAGUCACCACCCCCACCAUCACCAUCCCCUCCCCCUCCAUACUAUUACAAAUCUCCUCCACCACCAUCACCAUCACCACCACCUCCCUACUAUUACAAAUCACCUCCACCACCAUCACCAUCACCUCCCCCUCCAUACUAUUACAAAUCUCCUCCACCACCAUCACCAUCACCACCACCUCCUUACUAUUACAAAUCACCUCCACCACCAUCCCCAUCACCACCACCUCCAUACUACUACAAAAGUCCCCCUCCACCAUCUCCAUCUCCUCCAUCCCCAUAUUACUACAAAUCUCCACCACCACCAUCACCAUCCCCACCCCCUCCCUACUAUUACAAAUCACCUCCACCUCCCUCACCAUCACCGCCACCUCCUUACUAUUACAAAUCACCUCCACCUCCCUCACCAUCACCGCCACCUCCUUACUAUUACAAAUCUCCCCCACCUCCAUCUCCAUCUCCACCACCUCCUUACCACUAUCAAAGUCCUCCUCCACCAUCUCCCAUUUCUCAUCCUCCCUACUACUACAAAUCCCCUCCACCACCAUCGCCGUCUCCUCCACCUCCUUACCACUAUGUGAGUCCUCCCCCACCAGUAAAGUCACCUCCACCACCAACUUAUAUCUAUGCUUCACCACCACCACCUCACUACAACUAAGCUCAAAGAGCAGAAGCUCCGUUCAUUAUAAAUCAUGUAAGUUUAUCAUCUUCAAUUUUCUGAAUGUGUGCGUGUGUAUUUGUUUUUUUGUUACAAGAUACUAACAAAAUUCUUUUCUUAUUUAUGUUCAGGUUUUAGUUUUCAUCUAGGAAUAAAGGCAAGCUCCAUUUGGAGUAAAGUGAAACUUCUAGCUUCGUGUCCGAAUUCGUUAAAUAAAUGUCGGGAUGUAUCGUCUUUGAGCUAUAAUAUUUCUGAUCCAGACAAUAUCUAUUUUGUUUCUUUGGUGGCAAUCUUGCACUUCCUGGUCUUAGUCUAUUCAAGUGACAGACAAAUCAAAAGGGAGAAGCGAGAUUAAUUUAUUUGUGAUCUCUUUGAUUUAUUUGUGCAUAUAUCAAUAUGAACGUGUAUGAUAUUUUUCUAUUUAUUGAAGAUUUUUUUACUGUAACCUGUUAUUGUGUUUGUCAAAAGGUGUUAAUAAAGAAUCACAUUCAAUUUCUGUUAAAUUAUCAGUAUUUGUUUCUUUCUAACAACUACCAUUCAUGCAAAUGUGGCUAUUAAAAAAAGCUCCAAUGACACAUAAAAAGCUUCCAAACAAUAUAUAAACAAAGAUGCAUUGUUUUCUGUUAAGAAGGGGACAGGGUUACGGUUACUUGUGUACCAAGUUAGUUAUCCAUGCUUUCUUGUUCAUAGGAUUUAUAUGGUGUAGUUGCACUUAGUUGCUAAAUGUAUGCAAGCUUUUCCUUUCUAUAAAUAAGCACACCUACUAUCAUUCUUCUCCACAUUCCUUUCUACUCUUCUAUCAUGAAUUGUUCAUCCACAUAAGAUGGUCACAGAGCACACCUAAUACUCUGCUACUGGUGUAUCAGUUCCUUUCCACCAGAAACUUAUGAUCUCUAAUUGAAAGAGAUCCUAAAGUUUUAAGAUUUCUACAAAAUACAUUAUUCUCAUUUUUGUACAAGUAUGAUACAAUUAUUCCCAAGUAUUAUUUAUUCUAAGGAAUAGAAUUUAGUUGUGGUUUCUCUAUUUAACCAACAUUUAUUUUUAAAUAACUAAAUUUAAAAAAAAAAUCCUGAAAUUAUUAAGUACAUACCUAACACAUUGUAAAAUUUUGUUCCCAAAGAAAAUAUUUUUGGCAAUAGAAUUUUCAGGAACUUCAUUCCUAGGAAUAUAAUUCUAUACUAAGAGAAGAGCUUAAGCAUUGAUACAUAACAAGACCAAUCCAUAUCCUAAUCACAAUCCUACUUUCACUAAAUACUUUCACUUAAGUGUGGUCUUGGAAAGGACAAAUGAAGAAAGACAUUCCAGAGGUAUGGUAAGGGACAAUAUCUGCAGUUAUGCACAUAUUGCAAGAUUGUGAGGAACUACCGGACUGAUUUGAUUCACCAAAAAAUUUGGAAUAAAUAUUUCAGCCCAGAACUCAGACAAUGACUGGAUUGGAACCUUUCAGCUUCUAAUAUCGGUACUGUCCAAGGAAAUAGUCAUUCUCUUUUUGGAGUAGCUGUGAAGGAUUUAUGGAAAGAUAGAACUAAGCUGGUCUUUUCUAGAAACACCGCGAUUGGAACUACUCUAUUUUGGCUUGUAGCCAAUCCGGCUAAGUUUAUUAACAAUGUAGUUUGUACUCAAGCUCACAGUCACGAUGUUGUCAGCAACAGUGGGCAUAUUGUUUAGGUAGCCUGGAAUUUUCCUCCCCAACACUUCUUCAAAGUGAAUAUGAUGGAUCUCUACGGGAUUAUGUUAGUUUCCAGGAUCGAACUCAGAACCUCCUGAUUAUAACUCCUUCAAUGUAUGUCCCUUACCCACGUGGGGCCUCGGCUGUAAUUGUUAACAUGGUAAAAUUUGGCUCUUCCAAUAAUGGUUUUAUCCAAACUCGAGGUUGUUUAUCGUCUCCAACAAUCAGAUUGGAGAAUACUAGUGGUUCAUGCAUUUGAACAAACCAACUGUUGUGCAGAUUUUCUAGUUGAUUUUGUUUUUCCUUUUUUGAGUAUUUUAUUAGCCAAUGAUAUAAGAGGUUGUAGCCUACCUCUUUUGAUUUCUUAAGACAAUCACUUUUGCAUUAGAAAAAAACGACCCUACAUAAAAUUAAUGAUUGAAUUAAGAUAUAACUUCAGUUUGAAAUAUUGUAAAAUUCUAUACCACCAAAAACUGAGAAUUUUAGAACCAUACAGGUUGGUGGAGUGGUCAUCCAGAUAACUUUAACAUAAUUAACAGUCCAAAAAGUAAAUAGCUUUAUCCUUUAUUUUCAAUCUGAUGUGAUUUACUCUUAUCUGUUAAACAUUAUAAUUAAGAAUCCAAAGGGAACACUCACCUAAUCUCUCUCUUUUUUCUAGCUUUUUCACUAAACCACUGUGUCUGUGGUUACCACAUUUCCUUAUGGAAUCAAUAUCCAAUUUAUGUUAAAAACCAUUUCUACAUUUUGUGUUAAAAAUGAUCUAAACAAAGAUGAUUUAUUUCUCUUAAAUUCAACAUAGAUCAUAUUUACAUGGUUCAAACUUUCUAUUACACGGCAUUGACUUAGUUGCUUCACAUGGGGACACAACUAAUGCAUAUAUUAUUUUAUAUGCUUAUAGUAAUUUUAACAAGUGGCAAUGGGGCAUAUGUUUUGUCAAAAAAACACAAAAAACAGGAGGCAUGUGCAACUGAAGUCACUGCCAGCUUGGCACUAAGAUAUAGUAAAAUAAUUGACAUUUGAAGAAAACAAAGACGUUGCUACAUUUCUAUUCAAACAAGCGACAUCAAUAUCAGACAAUGGUGCUACAUUUAAUAAUACUACAGCUAUCCCCAUAAGCACCUCUUAGAAAGAAAAAAAAAUAUCCAUUAAAUUAAUGUUGGAAGAGUUAGCAACAUGUCCUCUCCCAAAAAAACUCAUGUUUGAUUCCUAGAGUCGUCCAUUUCGAAAGAAGCUCAACCCUGAUAAUAAAAACCUAGAUGUUAUGCUGCAGACUUAAAGAUCAAUUUCAUAAUGGAUCCAAAGGGCCUAAGCUGUGUGGGAUACUUAAGGGGGUAUAUUGAGGCUAAGGGUCAAAGAUCUUAAUUAUGGUCGGUUAAAAAAAGAAGAAAAAAAAAUUAUCUCUAAAUAUAAAGUCAACAAUAUUUCAAAUUGCAAGAUACAUUUAUUUAUUUUUUAAAUAUGUAUAUACCUCUUAUUAAUACUUACUAAUUUGUUUUGAGUGAUAAAAAGUUACGAGUUAGACAGAUCAGCACAUAAAAAAAGUAUUUGAAAAACAUCUACCAACAAAAUAAACACAUUAAAAACAAUACUACUUUUUUACAAUACUGUAUGUGAAAAUGACAAAAUCUUGAAAAAGAUGGAGGUAACAUGUACUCUUUUUUUUUUAGAGGGGAGCAUGUACUUUUCCACUAACAAUGUUGAUAAGAAACAUAUAAAAUACUAUUAGAGAAAGAAAAAAAAUAAUAAAUAAAGAAAUAUAUAAAAUACUGAGGAAUGACUCACUCAUGUCAAAUUUUAGCAAGGGAGAAGUGAUAUCACAUCAUUUUAGAAGAGGAAUGAGAAUAGAUAGAUCUAAUUUUUCUAGUAAGUUUGAAUAGUAGAAUCAUACUUCUUUGUCUUUUGUGAAAAUUUCAUAUUAUGGGAUCUAUUACUAGAAUACAGGUGAUUUUAUUCUGGAAGAUUGACUUUUUAUUAAAAUAAAAUAAAAGUACAUUUUUUAUUUCCAAAUGCUUAGUUGUUCAUUUAUAAAUAUUACAUUAUCCAACAGCACCAAACCCUAUUUCAUAACGGUACUCUGCACGUUUCAUUCAUUUACUGGUGCCUUAGUUUUUUGUUACAAACAGACAUUGAUCAGAGGAACAAAUGUAGAGACAAAUUGAAGAUAAUAUAUCACAUAAUAUUGUAGACACACCUUCACAUACAAAUGGGGUAAAGUCCCUCAUAGUAGUAUUAGAAAUAACACUUAGAGUAAAAUUUUGCUAAAUUUAACAUGAAAAUAAGUGUAAUGUAUUUUAUAGGCAGCUAUACAUAAUUAUUAAUUAGAACAAUUUUUUACACUGUCAAACAAAAAUUGAACAAUUUUUUACUAGCUUUAUGCUUUAUGAUGUUUUGAUUCCAUGUGCACAUUUCAAUUUUAGAACUAUUCCUUUCUAUGUUACUGAAAUAAUUCUAUCAUUAGGCAUUGACAUUUCCAUUAUGCGUGCACGUUAAAGUGUUUUCCCAAACAGAGAAAUAUUAAGAAAGGUUAAACUUUUGACUUAAAGACACAACUAAAAUAAGAUCCAAGGAAAACCCCAUUGAUUAUUUCUUGCACAAAAUUAAAAACCCCAUUGAUUAUUUCUUGCACAAAAUUAAAAUGCUAAUAAUUUUUCCUGGUCUAUAUUUUUCUCCUUCCGGGAAAUGGCAACAUCACAUGUUCAUCUCAUAAUUGAGAAAACACAUGUCUGGGAAAAUAUCUUAAAGAAAAGGCAGUAAAGUAAUAAAAAGUGCACCAAAUAGAGAUUAACUAGUACUCUUUGCAUGUCAACUAAGUGGUAUAAUUAUGUAUAUCACAUUCUUAAUAUUGAUUAUCUUGAUUGCACGAUAAGCCCCUCAAAUUGCUCAAUCGAUGAUUGCUUGAUAAGCCCAUCAAAUUGCCCAAUCGAUCGAAUCGUAACUUUCGAUAGACAUUUUUUUUAAGAAAACCCAAUUGGAUCAUAACUCCCCAUAGUCAUUUAUUUGAAAUUGUGAGCAAUUUGAUAACUUAUUGAGCAAUCACCAUUGAUUUUAGUCUCAAUUUAUCCUAAUGUUGUAACCCUGGAAUAAUGGAACAGUGAGUAAAUUUGGUUUCUCCGUCUCAAAAUAAGUGUCACAAUUUAACCAUGUGCACUACUCAUCAAAUCUACUUUGACAACAUUUUUUUUACUAAUAUAUAAAGACAAUGUUAGUACAUUACAUGUUCGAUUUGUCUUAGUUAAUGUUUUUAAAAUAUCGACUUUAUUAUAAUUUUUCUUAAUAGACAAUCAAAAAUAUCAAUUGUCAAAAUUGUGUAUUGAUAUGUAUGAAAAUCAAACUAUAACACUUACUUUGAGACGAAGAGAAUAACUAUUAAAAACUAAUGUUCAAAUAGAAAGAAAAGAAAACAAAGAUUCCAUACAAAGCUUGCAAAAUAGCUACAAUCAUAACCUAGAACAAAAAUCAUGACCACACACUAUAUCCAUUUUCCUUUUCCUAAAAAGCAAUUGAAGAUAAAAAAAAAAAAAAUAAUAAAUAAAAAAAAAAAAAAAAAAAAAAAAAANACCACCAUACUACUACAAAUCCCCACCUCCACCAUCGCCUUCUCCUCCACCACCAUACUACUACAAAUCCCCACCUCCACCAUCGCCUUCUCCUCCACCACCAUACUACUACAAAUCCCCACCUCCACCAUCGCCUUCUCCUCCACCACCAUACUACUACAAAUCCCCACCUCCACCAUCGCCUUCUCCUCCACCACCAUACUACUACAAAUCCCCACCUCCACCAUCGCCUUCUCCUCCACCACCAUACUACUACAAAUCCCCACCUCCACCAUCGCCUUCUCCUCCACCACCAUACUACUACAAAUCCCCACCUCCACCAUCGCCUUCUCCUCCACCACCAUACUACUACAAAUCCCCACCUCCACCAUCGCCUUCUCCUCCACCACCAUACUACUACAAAUCCCCACCUCCACCAUCGCCUUCUCCUCCACCACCAUACUACUACAAAUCCCCACCUCCACCAUCGCCUUCUCCUCCACCACCAUACUACUACAAAUCCCCACCUCCACCAUCGCCUUCUCCUCCACCACCAUACUACUACAAAUCCCCACCUCCACCAUCGCCUUCUCCUCCACCACCAUACUACUACAAAUCCCCACCUCCACCAUCGCCUUCUCCUCCACCACCAUACUACUACAAAUCCCCACCUCCACCAUCGCCUUCUCCUCCACCACCAUACUACUACAAAUCCCCACCUCCACCAUCGCCUUCUCCUCCACCACCAUACUACUACAAAUCCCCACCUCCACCAUCGCCUUCUCCUCCACCACCAUACUACUACAAAUCCCCACCUCCACCAUCGCCUUCUCCUCCACCACCAUACUACUACAAAUCCCCACCUCCACCAUCGCCUUCUCCUCCACCACCAUACUACUACAAAUCCCCACCUCCACCAUCGCCUUCUCCUCCACCACCAUACUACUACAAAUCCCCACCUCCACCAUCGCCUUCUCCUCCACCACCAUACUACUACAAAUCCCCACCUCCACCAUCGCCUUCUCCUCCACCACCAUACUACUACAAAUCCCCACCUCCACCAUCGCCUUCUCCUCCACCACCAUACUACUACAAAUCCCCACCUCCACCAUCGCCUUCUCCUCCACCACCAUACUACUACAAAUCCCCACCUCCACCAUCGCCUUCUCCUCCACCACCAUACUACUACAAAUCCCCACCUCCACCAUCGCCUUCUCCUCCACCACCAUACUACUACAAAUCCCCACCUCCACCAUCGCCUUCUCCUCCACCACCAUACUACUACAAAUCCCCACCUCCACCAUCGCCUUCUCCUCCACCACCAUACUACUACAAAUCCCCACCUCCACCAUCGCCUUCUCCUCCACCACCAUACUACUACAAAUCCCCACCUCCACCAUCGCCUUCUCCUCCCCCACCUUACUAUUACAAAUCCCCACCGCCACCUUCACCAUCUCCCCCACCACCCUACUACUAUAAAUCACCCCCACCACCUUCACCAUCUCCUCCACCACCAUACUACUACAAAUCACCCCCACCGCCAUAUGAACACAAGACUAAACCAUACUAUUACAAGUCUCCUCCACCACCAUAUGAACACAAGACUAAACCAUACUAUUACAAGUCCCCACCACCACCUUCACCAUCUCCUCCACCACCAUACUAUUACAAGUCCCCACCACCACCUUCACCGUCUCCACCCCCACCAUACUACUACAAAUCACCUCCUCCUCCAUCACCUAUUCCCCAUACACCUUACUACUACAAGUCCCCACCACCACCUAAGGUUCUUCCACCACCAUACUAUUACAACUCUCCUCCUCCACCUGUUGUGUAUCAUCACCCUCAUCCCUACCACCAUGCAUUGAUCGUGAAGGUAGUGGGUAACGUCUACAGCUUCAGAUGUUAUGACUGGGAGUAUCCUGAAAAGUCUCAUAACAAGAAACACCUCAAAGGUACAUCACAUUACAUUUCUCAAUUCUUUCAUUUUUAUAGAUUUUAUGUACAUCACUAUUGGCUCGUAGUUUCUCAAUACCAUUACAACUAAACUGCAAGUUUCAGUAAUGAGAUUCAUAUAGACAUGUUUUUAUUAACAUCUUUGUUUCUUAGAAAUUAUACAAACACUUAAUUUAGGUUUCUCCAUGUCCAAUAAAGUAAACAAUUGAUAUAUCAAAUUAACAUAUAUGAUAUAUCAUUUACCUCAUUAAAAUUUAAUAAUCCUGCCUAAUAUAAAGAUUCGGUUUGAAAAUGAUAGUUUAGUGAGCUUCUUUAUAAUAACACUCUCCAAUAUAUUAUGUUUUAAAAACAAUUAUAUUUCUAUUUGUCUAAAUUCAAAUUUGUUAUGGGACAGGUGCUGUUGUUGAAGUGACAUGCAAAGCCGGGAGCAAAAUCAUCAAGGCUUACGGUAAAACUAAGAUCAAUGGAAAGUAUGCCAUCACAGUUAAGGACUUUGACUAUGUCAAAUAUGGUUCAACAGUGUGCAAGGCUGCCCUUUAUGCUCCACCUAAGGGUUCACCCUUCAACAUACCUACAAAGCUAAACCAAGGAACAAACUUGUACUUGAAAUCCAAAGACAAGUACGAGGUUGUGCUCAAGGCUAAGCCAUUUGCUUAUGCUUCAAAGAAACAUUUCAAAGAAUGUGAGAAGUCCAAGCCUUCACCAACUCCUUACUACUACAAAUCACCUCCACCUCCCUCACCAGUUUACAAGUAUAACUCACCACCUCCACCCGUCCAUUAUUACUCACCUCCAUAUUACUACAAGUCACCUCCUCCCCCCGUGAAAGCGGCACCAACUCCUUACUACUACAAAUCACCUCCACCUCCCGCACCAGUUUACAAGUACAACUCCCCACCUCCGCCAGUCCAUUACUAUUCACCUCCAUACACCUAUAAGUCACCUCCUCCUCCUGUGAAAGCAGCACCAACUCCUUACUACUACAAAUCACCUCCACCUCCCGCACCGGUUUACAAGUACAACUCACCACCUCCACCGGUCCAUUAUUAUUCUCCACCAUACUACUACAAGUCACCACCCCCACCAUCUCCAUCACCUCCUCCACCAUACUAUUUCAAAUACUAUUACAAGUCCCCACCUCCACCAUCACCAUCCCCUCCUCCACCUUAUUAUUACAAAUCUCCUCCUCCACCAAAACAAAUUUCACACCCUCCAUACUACUAUAAGUCACCACCCCCACCAUCACCAUCACCUCCUCCACCAUACUAUUAUAAGUCUCCACCUCCACCAUCACCAUCUCCCCCACCACCUUAUUAUUAUAAGUCACCACCCCCACCAUCCCCGUCCCCUCCUCCACCAUACUACUACAAGUCUCCACCUCCACCUAAAGAAAUAUCACAUCCUCCAUAUAACUAUAAGUCACCACCCCCACCAUCACCAUCCCCUCCCCCUCCAUACUAUUACAAAUCUCCUCCACCACCAUCACCAUCACCACCACCUCCCUACUAUUACAAAUCACCUCCACCACCAUCACCAUCACCUCCCCCUCCAUACUAUUACAAAUCUCCUCCACCACCAUCACCAUCACCACCACCUCCUUACUAUUACAAAUCACCUCCACCACCAUCCCCAUCACCACCACCUCCAUACUACUACAAAAGUCCCCCUCCACCAUCUCCAUCUCCUCCAUCCCCAUAUUACUACAAAUCUCCACCACCACCAUCACCAUCCCCACCCCCUCCCUACUAUUACAAAUCACCUCCACCUCCCUCACCAUCACCGCCACCUCCUUACUAUUACAAAUCUCCCCCACCUCCAUCUCCAUCUCCACCACCUCCUUAUCACUAUCAAAGUCCUCCUCCCCCAUCUCCCAUUUCUCAUCCUCCCAACUACUACAAAUCCCCUCCACCACCAUCGCCAUCUCCUCCACCUCCAUACCAUUACGUGAGUCCUCCCCCACCAGUAAAGUCACCUCCACCACCAGCUUACAUCUAUGCUUCUCCACCACCACCAAUCUACAACUAGCCUCACAACACCAAAUCACCAUUGGUGAUAAAUUAUGUAAGUUUACCAUUAUUGCAAUCAUAACACUUGCAUCUUUUCCCACCCAUACACACACAUAUCACAUGUUUAAAUUUUAUGUACUAAUCAACAAAAACUCUUAUUUGUUUUCAGGUUCUAGUUUUCAUCAAGGAAUAAAGUCGUCCAUUUGGAGCAAAGUGAAACAACUAGCUCUCUGUCCAAAUUAUUUGAUGGCCAUCUUGCACUUCCUAAUCUUAUUGUGUUCAAGUGACUGGCUAAUCAAAAUGUGGAAGCGAGAUUAAUUUAUUUAUUAUCUCUUUGAUUUAUAUGUGCAUAGAUUGAUAUUUCCCUGUAUGAUAACUUUAUUUUUAUUGAGGAUUUUUUGUAUUGUACCCUGUUGUGUUUGUUAAAAUAAGUAUUAUCAAUGAAGAAUUACCUUCAAUUUCUUUCCACCUAAUUAGUUCUUGUUUCUUUUAAACAACUAUCAAGCAUGUCAGCAAGGCAAAGCAUACCACUACCACCAUAUCACCAUAAAAUGCAUCAUUAUUCAUUGCAUAUGAGAUAAAUAUAUGCAAACUAUAUCUAAUUAUUAAGAGGGGGAAAAAACUAAUGUACAGAAAAUGUACCUCAAGGCUUCAGGAUAGGUGUUAGAAACCCAAGCUUUUAAUAGCUCUCUCCAAGAAUCCUCGUUUCUACAACUUAAGUUCCUAUAUUAAUCAAUUAUAAUAUAUGAGAAACUUAUGUUGUCGACCAACAAUACAGGUGACUCAAAAAAAUAUUAUAUUUUAAAAGUCAAACCUUGAGCUAUACACAUGUAAGCAUCAUCAAUAUAAGUUUCACCAUUGUUCAUGUGUAUUAUUCCAUAAAUUUUGGCUCAGUUGAGGUUACUACACUGGUUUUCUUCCUAUUGUAUCAUAUAUUUAAAUACUAUGGUGCGUUUGGAUAAACAGCUUAUGUCACAAGCACUUAUCAUGAUAAGCGCUUUUGUAUAAACUUGCAUGAGUUAUUUUCAUAUCAAAAGAUAAACAAGAACAUUAAAUUGUUUUUGUAUAUUACUUAAGUUGUUUUCAUAAGCUAUGUUGAAGAACUAAUGAAAAUUAGCUGAAAAAAGCUUAUGCUGUUUUCAUGAAUUCUCCCUAACAGUCUCACAAUAUUUAUGUCAGUAUAUAAUCAAAUAAGUCAAUCCAAACAGGCCCCACGUCUUCUAUAUUAGACCAUAUGACAAUUUCUUUUCGGUUUAUUCUCAUUAAAAGUUAAAAAUGGUGUAUUUGAAUCCUAUAAUUCUUUGUCAUACAAGUGCAUUCAAAUACAAUUUGAAGCCAUGGUGAAAGUGUUUAAUUUGCAGAGCUCACCAACAUAAUCUAACGUAUAUUUGGAUUGACUUAUUUGAACUUAUCUACUAGCACAAAUACUUGUGAGAUUGUUUACGAAAGUUUAUGGAAAAAACUUACAACACACACAUAAGUUGUUUUCAGCUUAUUUCCAUAAACUCUUCAAAAUAGCUUAUGAAACAACUUAUAUGAUAAGAGCUUAUUCUAUAAGCGCUUAAUUAAGUUUUAAUCCAUUCUUCUUCUACCUUCAUCUUCAGUUAACAAAACGAAUACAAUUUCUGAAAAUUCAAAGUUCAAACACCAAAAAAUACCUAAAAUGAAAAAUUGUUGAAUGAAAGCGCAAAUAGAACCUGGCAAUGCGUUCGAGAAGCACGUGGAGGAGGUGGCGUGGCAGAAGAAUGUGUGGAUUUCAUCGGAGAAUUUCAGUUCUGCUCGCGCCAUUUAAGAAAUUUUGUAAACUUAAAGUUUAGUUUAAGUUUACCCCUCUUUUUUUUUCAUUUUAAAGGAGUUUACCCUACAAAUUUUUGUAUGUUUUUGCCACGUUUACAAAUGAUUUAAUAUGUUUUUAUCCUAUAUAUAUUUAGGGAUGUAAAUGGAUAUUAUGAUGCGGAUAGUGUAAUAUUUGUGUCUGUUCCAUUGGAUAAAUAUGAAAUCUGUACCAUAUUCAUAUCGUACGGAUAUCUGUUUAGCGGGUAAUCCACAGAUUUUGAGAUAUUUGAGUGUUUAUAGAUAUAUUCAUUGAUAACAUUUAUAAAAAUAAAAUAAAAAAUUUGUUUAAUUCUUUUUAGAGACAAAGGUUCUUCAUAUGCAUUUUCUUUUCUUUUUAACAAAACAUAAUAUUCAUACAUUAUAAUAACAACAAAGAUCAUUGACUCAACAAAAACAUAAAUAAAGUUGCUUACAUUUAAUAAAAAUAAAGUUAUUUGAUUUAACAAAAACAAAGCUCUUGCAUCAACAAUCCCAACCACUUUCACUUCCUUUUAAAAGAGUGUAAUAACAAAUAACACUCACAAUACAUAAGGUUUUUUUUUAGGAAGUUGAAUGAUAUUAAGGUUAUUUAUGUAAUUUACUCGGUUUAAUAGUCGGUAUGGAUAUCCACGGGUGUGGAUACCGUUAAAUCCGCAUCCAUAUCCAUUAAUUAGCAGGUAGUUAAAAAAUUCAUUUAUUUUAUCCAUUGAUAUCCAUUAAGGUAUCCGCUCCGUGCCCGUGACGGAUUAUAUCCGCGGAUAUUCACGGGUGCGAAUUUUUUUGUCAUCCCUAUAUAUAUAUAUUAGUCUUAAACUUGACUAUUUUUUAUUAUCAUUUGGUGCUAUAAUUAAAAAAAAAAAAAAAAUAUUGUUCGUCUGAGCCAUUUAGCUACAGGCUAUUACUUUUCUCAUUCUACAUGUUUCUCGCUUGUCCUAUUUUUUUUUUAAUACUUUUUGCUCGAAUUCUAAAAUCUAAACUCCUAUAGGGAUUUUUGGAUUCUAUAAUCCAAAACACGUUGAAACCCAAAAAUAAAAUAAAAAACUAUGUAAUUGAAAUCAAAGAUCUCUACUGCUAAUGCACGUUUUCCACAAAAACUACAAAGUAAUUUCAAAGUAAUUUCACAAAAACUAUCGUAUGAAUAGACAGCAAUGAGCAUGAUAUCAUAAAUAACUCAAAACUUUAUAAAAAUAAAAAUAAAAAAAUGAAUAAGAAGAUGUGAAGAAUGAAUGUAAACGUUGGAGGAUACAAAGCUAUUUAUAGACAUAAAAUGUUCCUAGACUCUAAAGUGGGUCAAAGAAAACAUGAAUAACAUUUACAACUUAAUUAACACAUCACAGAUCAUUCAAACCUUUGGUGUAACAUCAUCGUAUGUAGUCUGGCACAGUUUGGAUUAUACAAUCUGAACAUUUCAUAAGCAGUUUGGAUUAUAUAAUUUGAACUAUCCCAGACUGUGUUUCAGCUUGAUGUUUGGAGGGUUUUGUAUGGUGGAUAACACAAAAAAAUGACAUAAUUCAACAACGUAAAAAAUAUAAUAAGAUAAGUGAUGAUGAAAGGGAAGCCGCACCAAGAGGUGUUUUUGAAUUCGAUCCAGUUGUCCUAUCAACUGACAUAUAUUUCUAUUGGCAUGGCAGCAAGAUCAAGUUUCAAAACGACCUUUUUGUGUUCAUAUCCGCAAAAUAAUGAUGAAAGGCAAGGUAUUCCAAGAAGUGUUUUUUAACUUGAUCUCGCUACCUUGUCAACUAACAUAUUUCUAUAGACAGUGCAGCAAGAUCAAAUUUAUAACAACCUCUAGGUGUUCAUAUCCGCUAAGUAAUUUUUCGUAGUUCUUUAUUGUGAUCUACAAAAAAAAAAAAAAAAAAGAUCUAUUUAUAUAAGUUUAUGUGCGUCGCGAACCAGAUAAAUUUUCGAUGCAUUGUGGACCAAAAAAAAAUUCUAAUUCGGACUAAACAAGAUGAAUUUUCCUUCACCCUAGAAAGUAAAAGUUUUGACAAACACAAGACUGAUUAUACAUUAAAUACAACAAUCAGCCAAACUAAACAUAUUAGAUCACAAAUCUUUCAAACUAACUUCUUCAUUGGAUUCCUCCAAGAGAGCCUUGAUUUAUUUGUAUGUUCUAGGCCGAAUCAAUUUUUUUUAAUAUCUUUGAAAGGGCCCGACCAAGAAAACAUCCAACUCAAUUGGUCAUUUAAUACCGUACUGACCAAAUAUUAAAACAUUAUUCUCUUAUCGCAUUGUUCCUGAGUUUAAUCUAGGUAAACUAGAUGCUUUCAUCUUAGCCAAUCGAUGGACUUUGAUGCUCAACAUUGUCCAUCCUUCUUGUGUCUGUGUUGUUGAGUCGACGGUUGAUUUAGUCCAGCUAAUAUUGGACUUUCCCCCAUUGUAGUAAACUACAGUUAGUUUGGUGUCAGAUCAAUGAUUGAAGUGUUCAUGAUUAUUUGGUGUGGUUUAUAGCAAAUGAAAACAAGCACACCAAUUUAUAGAAGUUUAUGUGCGCCGCGGACUACAAUAACUAUUGGUGCAAUGAAGACCAUAGAAAAAGCAUGUACUUGGCUGAUUUGGAUUAUAUAAUUUACAUUGUCCCUCACCCUACAAAGUACAAAUUUCAACACAAUAUUGAACCAAUUCGGAUUAUAGAAUCCAAUCAUUUAUGAGAUAAUUUCGGAUUAUAUAAUUAAAACUAGUUCACAAUGUGAACCGCAGCUUGGUCAGCAAGACUAACUCAUUAAAAAUGUUUUUUAAGUUGGUGAACGACGCUUGACUGGUCAGCAAGACUUGAAAACAAUUUUCGUACCAUGCAUUAAUGGACCAUUACCCUCUAUGAAAUGUACUUCACAAAUUCUCCUUCCGAAUACCCACUAAUACAUCACAAAUUCUUAUUUCAUCUCACAUUCUCUCGUUCUUUUUACUUCUACAAUGUGCUUCCAUAGUUUGUGUUUCAUACAAAAAUGUUACUCUAAUAUUUUAUGGAUUGUAUGAAUGGUCAAAAGGCAAAAAUUGGCACCAUCUGUUUGGAUGUAAGGUUGAUCAUCAAAGUCUAAUCCACUAAGAGAGGAAACAAACCUUACCCCAACCUCAUUCCCCAUUCAUCUUCUUGCACCGCAUGUUUAAAUGAUACUCCCUCCGGUCCUAUUUAUAAGAGAAAGUUAGGUCAACAAAAGUUGAUGUAUCUGAACUGAAUUUUUAACCGGAUACAUCAACUUUUGUUGACCCAAAUUUCUCUUAUAAAUAGGACCGGAGGGAGUAUUUGUACAACCAUUUUGGUACAACUUUUGUACAACUUUCUCUCUCAUACUCACAUUAUGUUUUUAUUCUCUCUCUUACUUUUUUUCUCUCCAUUGUGGUUGACCAAUAAGAAGGGAGAAUAUCAAGGUUGUCACAAAAAUUGUAACAAAAGAGUUGUUCAAAUAUCAUUACUCUUAUCAUUAUGUGUUAAAUAAUUUUGUGUAAUAAGCUUCAAUGACAAUGUAAAUAUACAAUAAAAGAUAUAAAUUAUUCAUAAAAUGAAAAUUUUAUUCAUUUAUCUUUUUAUAUUUUUGUCUCUUUUAGUUUCAGUCAUUUUCAAUUAUGCAUUCUUAAUAUUAUGUCAAUGUUGAUCAAUAAUUAUUGGCAAAAGAAGUUUUCAUGUUAUAGAAUAUGAAAAUCCCUGGUACCAAAAAAAAAAAAAAUCUGAAAAUCCCUCUAUAGGAUUUCAGAUUUUAGAAUCCGACCAAAUGGUAUUUUGAAGAGAGAAAAAUAGUGUGUCUAAGUAACUCAUGUUGAGAAAAGUAAUAGCCUUAAUUAUGUCUCCGAUAAACAUUUUAUUCCCUUCCGUUAAUCAGUUAAUCCCAAAUGUCUAAGGUGAACCAAUAUUAUAGGUGGUCUACCAUAAACCUCAUAACAAUUUUAAGGUCAAAUACCACUUUUGGUCAUUUUAGUUUGACAGAAUUCUCAAGUUAGUCAUUUAAGUUUCGAAAGUUUCAAUUAGGUCCUUUUAGUUUGACAGAAUUCCCAAGUUAAUCCUUUAAGUCAUAAAAUUCAGGGGAGCAAAGUAGAUACUCCAGUUUUCAGAGGCGGAGACAUAGUCAUGUCAAAAGCAUCCCACAUCCUAUUACCACCUACUUGAACUCAUCAAGCUUGGUAUGGACCAUUCACAGUAACAUGUGUAUGUAGUCUCGUGGAGAUCUGGGACAAUAUCAAAUGGCAUGCUAAGGUGAAUCGACACAAACUGAAGCAUGUUAAAGAUUGCAUCCGGAAAAUGAAAGUUGAAGAAGAUGAACCUGCUUUGAAGAGGUUCAAGGGCACAACAUAGACUUAUUCUCCAUGUUCAAGAUGUAAAACACGCAUUGAACGAGAGACAACCCAUUAAUUUAUUUUCUCCGUUAUUUGUCUUGUGUCAUUUUUGCUCGAAUUUUUUGCCGUCAAUUCUUUAUGAAUUAUCAGUCAUAUUAUAUUACACACUAGACAAUUUUUUUGGUACCUUGAGCCUUUUCAAUCCGCCCUUAUCAUCAUUAUAUCCUUUGCUAAAUCCCUUUGAGCUUCCAUGCAUUAUUUCUUUUGUUUUUUUUAUUAAGUAACAAAUCAUGUCACAAGUUUGAACUUUUAAUGCCAUCUAUUUGAUUUCUUUUAUAGUUAGAUAGAAUAUUUUUAAGAACUUGGUAUGAUUUGAAUAUAUGUUAGGGUUAUAAGGGAGAAAUGUAAUGGCAAAGAGGAAGAGCAAGAAAAGAGAUGAAAGAUGAAGGGACAUUAGGCAGACUCAAUCACGGUAGUUAGAAUGAUUGCCUUCUGUUUUGCAGUAAUUUGCAUGAGCUUCACUUUUCAAGUAGAGUAAAAAAAACAGGAAUAGAUAGACACAUUUCUUCUAAGUUUGAGUAGUGAGUGAUAACACUUCUAUGUAAUCCCUAAAAAAAAACACUUCUAUGUAAAAAAAUCACAUGGGAAAUCCAUUCCUAUAGUACACGUAAUUUUGAUCUGGAAGGUUGACUUUUCAACAAAAUAACCUAAAAUAAUUUGUUCAUAACAUAAUAGAGGAAUCUAGAAGUGUUCGCGGUGCGGUUUGAUUCGGUUUUGAGCAAAAAAGUCAUCCAAACCGCGCGAUAAAAAAACAUGUGGUUUGGUUCGGUUGAUUUUUAAAAAAUCAUCCAAACCAAACCAAACUAAACCAAUACGGUUUGGAUUGGUUCGGUUUGUGCGGUUUAUCGCGAGAUAAAAAAAAAAUAUUACAUUAACUCUAAUAUUUCCAAAUUGUUACAAAAUAAACAUAGAACGUUUUUUUAUUUAUUUUUAUAUGAUAAAAUAUUAGGUAAAACUCAUAUCAAAAUAGGUAAAAUUAAGAAGAAUUUAUAAGCAUGAAACAAAUUAUUGGAAAGUAAAGGAAACAAAUUUAAGUAAUAUUCAUUAUUCUUGCAGCUAUGUAAUUGGGCUAGAAACAUUUUAUUUUGAUGUUUAUAUCGAACAUGAUGGUGCAACAAUGGAAAAAUCAAAUCAAAAAAGAUUAUUCUUGAGCUAUGUAAUUGAGCUAGUACAUAUUUAAGUAAUAUUCAUUAUUCUUGCGGUUUGGUUUGGUUUGAUUCGGUUGCUGAGAUGCAAACCGCAAAUCAAACCAAACUGUAUGUUUUAGUGCAAAAGUCAUCUGAAUUCAUCCGAAAUCAAGUACGAUUUUUUACGAUUUUGAAUUGGUUUAAUUUGCCGUUUUUCUAUUGGAUUGGUUCGGUUUGAACGAUCUGCAUGAAUUCUUCUAGUUGAUUGUUGGACUAUUUUUAAUUGGCAAAGGCUUAGUUGUCCAUUUAUAAAUAUAAAUACUAUUAUUACAUUAUCCAAUCCAAUAGCACCAAAACCAAUAUAAUAAUGGUAAUUUGCAAUUUUGCACGUUUCAUUCAUUUAUUGGUGCCUUAAUUUUGGGUUACAGACCGACAUUGAUCAGUUGCUAAAAAACCACUGCAUCCUUAUUUUUUACGAGGUAGAUGCAUCGGACAAAUAAACCGACAAACAAAGCUAUUCAGAAAGUGCUCAGAAAUUUUUUGUGCCCCAACAGAAAAUAUUAAGAAAGUCUUGCUACACAGUGUCUUGUAUACAAGUGAAAUAUGUGUGGUAUUAUGCACAAGUUUAUUUUUACAAGUUGAUAUAAGAAUCUAAGUAUAUUUUUAUGGAAAAUUAAUGCUAACAAAUACUUUCAAAGCAUUGUUUAAGCAAUCAAUAUUAGUAACUUUUGCAUAGAAAUAUGUGUGAUUAUUAUUUUUUCAUAUGUUUUAUAUGUUUUCAAGAAAAUAUUUUUAUUUAUGGUUUUUUUAAAUAGUGUCCUUAGGUACUUGUUAGCAAAAUCUUAUUUAUAUAAGUUGAUCUAAGAAUCUCAUUAUUGUAUCGAGUGAGAUACGGCCAUACCGAAGCUUAUGGAUUCCAUAGUGGAAAAAUAACUUUUCAUCAGUGCAAUACUAUUUUAGUUGUAGAAUUUCUUUUCUUGUGUGUCCUAUUUCAGAUUUUAAAAUCCAAACAAUCGAAGGUUUAUGAAGGUUUUUCGAACAUUUUCGCACUGUUUGAAUUAUAUGAUCUGAAAUGUCAUAGAACAUGCGAGAAGCAAGUUGAAUGAAAUAAAAAACUCCUGCUCAAUAGAAUUAUUUUACUUGGUUAUUGUUUGAAUUUUAUUCUCCUUCAAAGACGGCAAUGUGCAAUUGUGCAUUUCAUCCGGAGAGUGGCAACAUCUCAUGCAUGUUCAUCUCAUAUAACUGAGAAGUCACAUGGCUUGGAAAAUCUUAAACCGAGAAAAACAAAAGGAGUAAAAGUAAUAAUAGUGAACCAAAGUGAAGAUGAACUUGUAGUCUAUCAAAAGAAGAUGAACUUGUUCGUCUUGGCAUAGUAACUCAUUUUUAUUCCUUGUUACCUAUGAAACACGGACAAUAGAUACAACACGGACACCAAUACGUUAAUACCGUUAAUAAUAUAAAAAAAUAGGUACAUUGAAUAAUUAAUGUAUUUGACCUAUAAAUGUGACCAGAUAUAUUAAUUAUUCAAUGUAUCUAAAAAGUUGGUUUUUGUUUAUAAAUAUGAUCAUAUGGAGUACUACUUUAGUGUAAUUUUAUGUAUUGGUACUGCGAGACAUCUAAUCUAAAGAGUGUCAAUGUUUUCACACAUAUUACUCACCAAAGUGCACACAUUAUAUGCAUUUAGGUAAACUGAGUUCAUCCAAAAUUGUAACCGCACAAACAGAGGGCCGCUAGGAAAUAUGAGGUAAAUUUGGAUUAUUCUUUAUCAAAAGCUUAUGACCAAAGAAAAACUAUACAAAAACUAAUGUUCAAAAAGUACAUAAAGUAAUAAUGCAAAGUCAAUGUGUAUAUAUAUUUCACCAUUAAAUAAAAGGGGAAAAAAAUCUCCAUACACAGCUUGCAAUAGCUACCAUCAUGGCCUAAAGCAAAUAUCAUAUGACCACUAAAAAACAAUAGAAAAUAAACAAAUAAAAAGAGAAAAACAAAAGAGAAAAUGGUAUAAAGAAAUCAUGUAGUAGUUAGUUUUUUCUCAAGAUGGGCAACUCAGCAGGGCUGCUAGGAGGAAAUUACAAAAGAACAUGACACUUAACUUCUCUAAUCAUUCAAAAUUUGUCAAGAUGCUGAUUAUAUAUUUUAAUUAGUAGUUAGAGAUUGUUAUAGUAACGUGUUCUAGCCAUCAAGAAUAAAACAAUGUCAUGGAAAAGAAGUGGCCUACUAGAAGAAUUAAUUUAAAGCAUUUACACCAAAAUAAAAACAAAUUGAAUAUUGGAAUUGGUCCUUCAUGAUAGCUUCCCCUUAACAACUAACUCUAACUAUAAAUACUGAAUCUUGCAUGCAACAUUUCAUAGUAAACACUAAGACCAAAACCUCUUCUUUCUAUCCAUGACUGCUAGGGCUAGUUGCCCCAAAAUGGGGCAUUUUUGGCCACAAAUGGCAAUGGCAUUGGCCAUUGUUUUGAUUUCUACUACUAUGGUUUCUGCUUCUGAUAGCUACAUUUACUCUUCGCCUCCACCACCUUAUGAGUACAAGUCCCCACCACCGCCGUCUCCCUCACCACCUCCUCCUUAUGUGUAUAAGUCACCACCUCCCCCAUCCUCGUCACCCCCACCACCAUAUGAGCACAAGGCUCCAUCUUAUGAGUACAAGUCACCACCACCACCAACUUCUUCACCACCACCUCCUUAUGUAUACAAGUCACCACCACCACCAUCUCCUUCACCGUCACCUCCUUAUGUGUACAAGUCACCACCACCUCCAUCCCCAUCACCCCCACCUCCUUACGUGUACAAGUCACCACCACCACCCUCGCCUUCCCCGCCCCCACCAUACUAUUACAAGUCUCCUCCACCACCCUCGCCUUCCCCACCGCCACCAUACUAUUACAAGAGUCCUCCACCACCCUCUCCUUCACCUCCACCUCCUUACUACUAUAAAUCGCCUCCACCACCCUCACCUUCCCCUCCCCCACCAUACUAUUACAAGUCUCCUCCACCACCAUCUCCCUCACCACCUCCUCCAUAUUACUACAAGUCUCCCACACCACCUUCACCCUCCUCUCCACCCCCAUAUAUACACAAGGAUCCACCAUACUAUUACAAGUCCCCACCACCCCCUUCACCAUCUCCUCCACCACCAUACUACUAUAAAUCUCCCCCACCACCCUCACCCUCUCCACCCCCACCUUACUAUUACAAGUCUCCUCCACCACCUUCACCAUCUCCUCCACCACCAUACUAUUACAAAUCUCCUCCUCCUCCAUCUCCUAUUCCCCAUACACCUUACUAUUACAAAUCUCCCCCACCACCUUCACCAUCUCCUCCACCACCAUACUAUUACAAAUCUCCUCCUCCUCCAUCUCCUAUUCCCCGUACACCUUACUAUUACAAAUCUCCCCCACCACCUUCACCAUCUCCUCCACCACCAUACUACUACAAAUCCCCUCCUCAUCCAUCUCCCAUUCCCCAUACACCUUACUAUUACACAUCUCCCCCACCACCUUCACCGUCUCCUCCACCACCAUAUUACUACAAAUCUCCUCCCCCUCCGUCUCCUAUUCCCCACACACCUUACUACUACAAGUCCCCACCACCACCAAAGGUCCUUCCACCACCAUACUAUUACAAUUCUCCUCCUCCACCUGUUGUGUAUCCUCACCCAUAUCCCUACCACCACUCACUUAUUGUGAGGGUAGUCGGUAAAGUCUACAGCUUCAGAUGUUAUGAUUGGAAUUAUCCUGCAAAGUCUCAUAACAAG
rnacentral:lncRNA from 1 species